GACGAACGCUGGCGGCGUGCCUAAUACAUGCAAGUUGAGCGCUGAAGGUUGGUACUUGUACCAACUGGAUGAGCAGCGAACGGGUGAGUAACGCGUGGGGAAUCUGCCUUUGAGCGGGGGACAACAUUUGGAAACGAAUGCUAAUACCGCAUAAAAACUUUAAACACAAGUUUUAAGUUUGAAAGAUGCAAUUGCAUCACUCAAAGAUGAUCCCGCGUUGUAUUAGCUAGUUGGUGAGGUAAAGGCUCACCAAGGCGAUGAUACAUAGCCGACCUGAGAGGGUGAUCGGCCACAUUGGGACUGAGACACGGCCCAAACUCCUACGGGAGGCAGCAGGAGGGAAACUUCGGCAAUGGACGAAAGUCUGACCGAGCAACGCCGCGGGAGGGAAGAAGGUUUUCGGAUCGUAAAACUCUGUUGGUAGAGAAGAACGUUGGUGAGAGUGGAAAGCUCAUCAAGUGACGGUAACUACACAGAAAGGGACGGCUAACUACGUG
rnacentral:rRNA from 1 species